CUCCCAUUCAGUUUGAAACGUACGUCAAGUGUUAAGAAACGAAAUUUGCUCCCAAAACCCCUCGUCCAUAUUUUUAGUUUUUACAGAUCAAAACUUGAAACUUGGCUAGUGUAUUCAGUAUAAGUCUAUAUAGGUGGCAGUUGCAUACACAGUUUAAUUUUUUGUAAAGAAAUGGCCACCCCUUAAUGAAUUGUAAACGAAUGAAUUCCCUUCCCCCUUAAAAUUCCCUUGUCCAAAUGUUGGUGUUGACGUUCAUUUUGAGCGUUUUGUUUCGGGUCGUCAAUGUUUUUAGAUGUUAAACCUCAAAGGGACGCCACACCUUCAACAUCAAACCGGUAAAUUGGGUAAAUUGGUUACGGUAUUGUUGUCAAACAAAAACGAGGGUGAACCGUGAAUCCAAUUAAGCAAUCGUCACCCAGAGUUCAUCGCCUUUUUUCAAGUAAAGCGUCGACUGGAAAGGAAAUGGAGAAAACCAAAAUCACGUCCGGAAGUAAAUCAAAAGACGAAUUUCUCUUGACGUAGAAAUGGGACGGGCGCCAAUUUGACGUCGACUGAACAUUAAUGAAUUCAAAUCAAUAACGUCAAGAUUUGAAAGCCGCCGAAGAAAAACUUGAAAGAAAUCGGAGAGCAACCAAAUUUGACAUGGAAACUUUAAAAAAAAAUUUGACCUUGACGAAAACAAAUUUGAGCAGCACAAAGUCCACCGUUGCGGGUUCAGCGACCAAAUAAAUGCCCGAACGAGUGAAAUAGUUGACAUUGGUCAACUGUCAACCUCAUGUUGGGAUUUGCAGCAAAUGGGACAAAACAUGAGCGGAUUCUUUUCGGUAAAAGGAUCGAAGAUGGAAACGUUUUGACUUUUAUGCUAAUGAAAAUGAAAAAGAGAAAUGGAUGCGAAUACGACGACGUCAAAUUGGCGCCCGUCCCAUUUCUACGUCAAGAGAAAUUCGUCUUUUGAUUUACUUCCGGACGUGAUUUUGGUUUUCUCCAUUUCCUUUCCAGUCGACGCUGUACUUGAAAAAAGGCGAUCAACUCUGAGUGACGAUUGCUUAUUUGGAUUCACGGUUCACCCUCGUUUUUGUUUGACAACAAUACCGUAACCAAUUUACCCAAUUUACGGGUUUGAUGUUGAAGGUGUGGCGUCCCUUUGAGGUUCAACAUUCAAAAACAUUGACGACCCGAAACAAAACGCUCAAAAUGAACGUCAACACCAACAUUUGGACAAGGGGAUUUUAAGGGGGAAGGGAAUUCAUUCGUUUACAAUUCAUUAACGGGUGGCCAUUUCUUUACAAAAAAUUUAACUGUGUAUGCAACUGCCACCUAUAUAGACUUAUACUGAAUACACUAGCCAAGUUUCAAGUUUUUA